rnacentral:rRNA from 1 species
AUUGAACGCUGGCGGCAGGCCUAACACAUGCAAGUCGAGCGAGCGGCGGACGGGUGAGUAAUGUCUGGGAAACUGCCUGAUGGAGGGGGAUAACUACUGGAAACGGUAGCUAAUACCGCAUACCAUCAGAUGUGCCCAGAUGGGAUUAGCUAGUAGGUGGGGUAACGGCUCACCUAGGCGACGAUCCCUAGCUGGUCUGAGAGGAUGACCAGCCACCCUGGAACUGAGGACAGGUUCAGGCUCCUACGGGAAGCAGCAGUGGGGAAUAUUUCACAAUUGGGGCCAACCGUAUGCAGCCAUGCCGCGUGUUUGAAGGAGGCCUUCGGGUUUUAAAGCACUUUCAGCGGGGAGGCGUUACCCGCAGAAGAAGCACCGGCUAACUCCGUGCCAGCAGCCGCGGUAAUAC